rnacentral:rRNA from 1 species
GACGAACGCUGGCGGCGUGCUUAACACAUGCAAGUCGAGCGGUAAGGCCCUUUCGGGGGUACACGAGCGGCGAACGGGUGAGUAACACGUGGGUGACCUGCCCUCAGCUCUGGGAUAAGCCUGGGAAACCGGGUCUAAUACUGGAUAUGACUCCAUGACGCAUGUUGUGGGGUGGAAAGCCUUGUGCGGCUGAGGAUGGGCCCGCGGCCUAUCAGCUUGUUGGUGGGGNGAUGGCCUACCAAGGCGACGACGGGUAGCCGGCCUGAGAGGGCGACCGGCCACACUGGGACUGAGACACGGCCCAGACUCCUACGGGAGGCAGCAGUGGGGAAUCUUGCGCAAUGGGCGAAAGCCUGACGCAGCGACGCCGCGUGAGGGAUGGCGGCCU